AAGAAGCAGACACGCUAGUGACUGUGGAGCCGUCCUUGAAAUACCACCCUGGUGACUUUGAGGUUCUAACCCGGAUCCAUAAACUGGAUCGGGGACCGUGCAUGGUAGGCAGUUUGACUGGGGCGGUCUCCUCCCAAAGAGUAACGGAGGAGUUCGAAGGUUACCUAGGUCCGGUCGGAAAUCGGACUGAUAGUACAAUGGCACAAGGUAGCUUAACUGCGAGACCGACAAGUCGAGCAGGUGCGAAAGCAGGACAUAGUGAUCCGGUGGUUCUGAAUGGAAGGGCCAUCGCUCAACGGAUAAAAGGUACUCCGGGGAUAACAGGCUGAUUCCGCCCAAGAGUUCAUAUCGACGGCGGAGUUUGGCACCUCGAUGUCGGCUCAUCACAUCCUGGGGCUGUAGUCGGUCCCAAGGGUAUGGCUGUUCGCCAUUUAAAGUGGUACGUGAGCUGGGUUUAAAACGUCGUGAGACAGUUUGGUCCCUAUCUGCAGUGGGCGUUGGAAGUUUGACGGGGGCUGCUCCUAGUACGAGAGGACCGGAGUGGACGAACCUCUGGUGUACCGGUUGUGACGCCAGUCGCAUCGCCGGGUAGCUAAGUUCGGAAGAGAUAAACGCUGAAAGCAUCUAAGCGUGAAACUCGCCUGAAGAUGAGACUUCCCUAGGGAAUUAAUCCCUCUAAAGAGACGUUCGAGACCAGGACGUUGAUAGGUCGGGUGUGGAAGAGUGGUAACACUUGCAGCUAACCGAUACUAAUUGCUCGUGAGGCUUGACUCUAU
rnacentral:rRNA from 1 species